UGGAGGGAAGCCAGAUUUAAUGUCAGAAGUCUGGACCGUCAAUCUCAUCCCUUCCCCACUGCCUCCUUUUAAAUUUUAGUCAAUUCAAUAAAUAUUUUCAACUCCGCCUCUGUACCAGGCACCAAGCUACAGACUGGAGUUCUGGCAAUGAACACUGCAGACAUGGCCGCCCUUAGCCGCAUGGAGCUUAGGGUCUGGGAGCAUUGUCAGUUUCUGAAUCCUCCAAGCCCUAAACUAUGUUCUCUCUUCAAAUUAGAGAAAAGAAAUGAGACAGCAGGCCUGCUUCUUUGAGUGUUUUUUCUUUUUUGUUUCCGUUUUCUGACAACCAUACUUCACGUCUGACAGAGGAAAUGAUUCUUUUUGACAGUGAUAAAUUUAUGAGUUUUGACUGUUUGUGAAGUUCCCUAAUUAAUUCUUUAUAGACUUCUAUUGGCAACUGCAUUUGUGUUUUGAGUUAAAAAUGGGAGUUCAGAUGAAUUACAGUUGAACAUUCUGCUCCCUUUGAAGAGCUCAUACUCCACGUUCUACGCUGUUAAUCUCUCUGCUUACCGAGCGGCACUGUUUGUCUUGCAGUGACGCACGGCUGGUGGUUACCAUGGCAUAGGAAAACAUUGCCAGCGAUGGCCCUGUCGUCACGGAACCCCUGGGCCAUCUCCCGAGCAACUUGUAUUUUCCAGGAGUCAAGAAAUAUCUACACGUCCACUGAGAUAAAAUAUUUUAGUAAAGCAGCUCUGUCUAAUCAUUCAGUCAAACAUGAGCCUCAAUGCUAAGAUCAUCAUCAAUUUUUGGAAAGACUAUUUUGGACUAUAUGAAAUUUUAAGAAGUACCUAACCUGGAGACGUCAUCAAGUCCAGUGAUUCUUGAACCAGCUGCCUAUUGGAGUCAUCUGGCAAUGAGAGUGGUUACCAUCUAACCAACUGCCAUAUACAUUCACUGUAGGAAUUGAUGAGCAUCUUACCACUGAAUCCAGAAGUCAUGUCCUUUAAGGAACCGACUCUGAGCCUAAACCAAUGGGCAAGUCAGCUUAUGAAGAACUUUUCAGAUAUUCAGACUAUUAUUCUGGGAGAGAAAAUAUUGGCAGAGAACAGAUGGGAUUUUCUCAAGGAAAAGAAAAUCCUACAUCUUGCAAGAAAUAGAAAAAAAUAAAUAAACUGUUUGAAGAAGAAGCACACCAGGCUGGCAGGAGAGAGCCUGCGGCUGGGUGUCUGACCCGGAAUGUUAAAGCCAGCCUGGCUGGACUCCAGGACGAAGGACACUCUGCCAGCCUCUCCACAUCGAUUCAUCUCCCCAGUCCCAAGAUCAGGGGAGCAUUCUGUUCCUUGAAGCAUUUUGUGACUAUAAGUCAGAAGUGCUACAGUUUUAAUAAAGAGCUUUAUUGUCCUGAUCUUGUGCAAUAUACUG